CCCCUUUGAUUCUCCAGGGCCCUACAUGUAGUAAAUUAUUUCUGCACUGAGUCAUGGAGAUUGGAUUCUUGAAUUCCUAGCAGAGGCAAAUAUCUCAUUAAUGCUGAUCUGAGAGAUAUCUGUGAUGAGCCUGUACAUCAGGUUUAUCUGCAGAGCUGAUCUGAAGCUGAUCAGCAGAGCUCUGAAGUGAGGCAGACUGGCAAUGAAGACUUCAUCAGAAUGAGGAUCCUUUUUCAGAAGAAAAUCACUACAGAGACAUAUGAAAAGUUUGAAGAGACAGCAGAGUGAGGAAACCCAGAGGCUU
ensembl:lncRNA